rnacentral:rRNA from 1 species
UACAGAGGGGGCGAGCGUUGUUCGGAUUCACUGGGCGUAAAGGGUGCGUAGGUGGUUGUGCAAGUCUGAUGUGAAAUCUCCGGGCUUAACCCGGAAAUGGCAUUGGAAACUGCAUGGCUAGAGGGUUGGAGGGGGGACUGGAAUACUUGGUGUAGCAGUGAAAUGCGUAGAUAUCAAGUGGAACACCAGUGGCGAAGGCGAGUCCCUGGACAACACCUGACACUGAGGCACGAAAGCUAGGGGAGCAAACAGG